GACACAUCCCCACGAACAAUUCCAGCCACCACCCACAAUUCCCCACCACCCCGAUCUGGCACGCCUCCACCCACCUCCAUCGGCCACCAGCGUGCCGCCUACCCCAAGCCACCGGCGCCACGCCUCCACCCACCGCCGCUGGCCGCAGUGCCCCGCAGGCCCCACUGCCGCCUGCCGUCGGCGGGGCCUCCUCCAAUCCCCACGCGGCGCGUCCUCCCGAGCUACUUGAUGCGCCGUCGUGGUCCGCCUCAACCUCCCACCGGCCUCCUCCCGCGAAUCUGCCGCCGGCCUCUCAAUCGCGCGUGCCUGCCGCAUCCACCGAAUCGAGCGUCGUCGCCCGCCCCGACCAUGCAUGCCGCCCCCUCAAGGACCGGAUUACAGGCCCAUGUCUCCGGCAAAGCCGUCAUUCAGGGGUCCGACGCCGACGGCAGGGGUCAGAUGCCUUGGUCUCGUGACCUCCGGUCGCCGUAUCCCUCCUGCAUGCGUCCCUCACCUACGCAUCUCCAUCUCACCAUGGAUAGCUUCCUCGUCAGGCUUGAACUUCUUCUCCAGCCUCCGCCCUGCUACUCUAGCUGUCCUCGUUGAAGUCCCCCGAUUGCCGUGUGCUUCUCCCCUGCCUCUUGUCACCUCCGGCUCCCCAACCUCCUGCCUCAGGAAAAAAAAUGGUCACAUUAUUUUACUCGGCACUGAUGUGCAUGUUGCCUCCGUCAUUGCAUCCUCCAGCUCAAUCCCAUCGUUGCAGUCCAACGACUCCAGAUGCAACCGUUCGCCACUAUUUUGCGAGGUAAGAUGGAUCUCAACAUCUGGCUCCCGGUAGGCCACUGCCUUGUGACAAGGCCACUGGCCUUGCAUCCUCCCGCACGAUGUGCGCCACCACCAGGACCCGACCUGCAAAGCACGAUGCUGGCUGUUCACAGCCGUCGGGCCACCACUCCCUGGAUCGGGGCUGCUGUGCUCGCGAAAUGUGUGUGUGCUAAUUGACGCUGAUUGAAGCUCAUCUCCUCCCUCGUGUAUGCAUCAACAAAAACUGUGUGGGUUCGCUGUAGUCCAAGUUGUGCCACAGCAGUAGGGUAACUCUUCCAGGACGCAUCUCAUCUCAACUAGCUCCAAUUUUGCGCGCAUGGGGUGGUGCUGCUCCAGCAAGCUCCUUCGUCCCCGGCCCGUCCCUGAAUGCGGAUGCAGCACCGCAGGUUCAAGUUCACCAUGCAUCCCUGACGUAGCACUGCUCCGGCUCCUCCCCCGCUUGUUGCCAGGUCUGUCUCUCCUUCCUCCCCUGCUCGCUAUCUUUUGCGGAGGUGGACACGUCUACCUGAUGGAGUGAAGUCGGCCUCCCAGCACCGGCAGUUGUAAAAAAUAAAUAACAACAACAAGUUCAGAAUCAGAAAAAUGAGAAGUUCAAGAAGAACAAAGGUGUUGCCUUCACUCAAGUUCUUGCAAAUUGCUAGGCUGUAGCUCGUAUAUUGUUUGCAACUAUCUUCAGUUUCUUUAGUAGCUCGUACAUAUUUUGCUGAAAGCUAGUACUUUCAUAAUCGUAAAGUUGAUAGUUGGCCUAUAGGGAUAACCAUGUUGAUCGUGAUUGAAAAAGGAUUAUGAAAUAAUAUUAUUGAGACUGAAGGCCAAGUUUGAUGCACGAUGUCAGAGGAUUCAAAGUCUUUUUAUGAGGCGGUCGAUGUCUUUCAAGAGAUGCGUUCAUAUCUCACAAGUUUCCAAAGGUUCAAGUUCAUCUAUAUAAGAAGGAAUGCCAAUUUUGUUGCACAUGUGUGUGAAAAGAGGCACUAAAACUUAAUGUAGUUGCUGUUUCUUUUCUUGUAACGACUACCUACCUGAUGGAGACUAUUCAAUCAUAGUUAUUUUUGCCUGCCAUGCCCUGAUACCUCCUCCAUAUAGGUGCCACCAUCACAACCCAACCUCCAUUUGCUGGUCGCUGCUAGCUGUUGUUGCUGUGGCCUGCCUUGCCCUCUAGCUAAUAUUGGUGCGCUACUGUUGAAGUUCAACUAGAAUGCUAGAGGGAUUUCUGCGAGAGUUUAGCUAAUAUAGUCCCUGGUUUUGUGUUUGAACUUGCUAUUGUCAAUGGUUAAAGAUUAUGAUGUUGCUUUUCUACGGAUGGUCUUCCUGUAGAUAUAUCAUUUUCCAUCCUCUUGGAAGGUACAACAUUCUGAAUGAUCAGAACAAAAACAAUAUAAUGUUAGUGUGCUGCUACUUAUGUAUGUUUGUACUAAGUUUGCUAAUGUGU